UACUAGAGUAGCACUUGCAUAUCAAUAAGCGGAGGAAAAGAAACUAACAAGGAUUCCCCUAGUAACGGCGAGUGAAGCGGGAAGAGCUCAAAUUUGAAAUCUUAAAGGGUUUCCCUUUACGAACUGUAGUUUAAAGAAGUGUUUUCUGUUGAGGUUUUGGUAAAAGUUCUUUGGAAUAGGACAUCAUAGAGGGUGAGAAUCCCGUAUUUGACCUUUACUUUCAACUUUGUGAUACACUUUCAAAGAGUCGGAUUGUUUGGGAAUGCAGUCCAAAAUGGGUGGUAAAUUUCAUCUAAAGCUAAAUAUUGGCGAGAGACCGAUAGCGAACAAGUACCGUGAGGGAAAGAUGAAAAGAACUUUGAAAAGAGAGUUAAACAGUACGUGAAAUUGUCAAAAGGGAAGCGUUUGACACCAGUGUUGUUUUUCUGAAAAUCAAUUAAAGAACUGUUUAUGCUAAGCUGUUUAGACUUUAUCAGCUAACUGUUUAGUUUUGAGCUUUUCUUUAAUGCACUUUUCAGUUAACAAGUCAACAUCAAUUUCUUUUGCUGUAAAAAAGCUUGAGGAAGGUGGCUUGAGAUUCGUCUUAAGUGUUUAUAGCCUCUUGCCUAUGCAGUCGGAGAGAUUGAGGUCUGCAGCGUAGAUCCUUCGGGGCUAAAUGCAUUUGUGCUAAGUUAUAGCAUUUUAUAGACAACUUGUUGACUAUGAUUUGUCUUGUAGCUUACUCGCUUAUGUUAUUUUACCUACGCUUAGGAUGUUGAGUAGCGACAUACGCAC
rnacentral:rRNA from 1 species